UUCUCUCUCUUUCUCUCUCUCUCGUUUAUUUAUUUAUAUAAACGAUGAACUUGUCGCAGCUUCGAGCGCGUAAAAUUGACACGCAAAGCACCAAAAACUAAAACCGCGUUUAAACAAAACUUCGUACUUCCCCUGCCUUCCUCUGCACCCAAUCCAACCAGCUCCACCGCCACCGCUAAAUCUCUUCUCUUUCACUCCUCUGUGACACCAGCAGGUCGAUUGGAAGGAAUAGAAGCGUUGGAGAAAUGCAGGAGAUGAGUUCGAGCUCGGUUCUUUCCGUACAUCAAUCUUUCAAUUCUUGCUCCGCUACCCAAUUAGCGGAAAUCGCCGGUAAGUUUGAGGAGGAUUUUAGCUUGAAAUUGAAACUAAAUGAAGCCACGGUAAAUGAAUUAGAGAACUGCAAGGAUGAGAAACCGCUGCCUGAGGAAGAAAGAGAGGUUGAAGUGGUAGAGGAGGAGGAGGAGGAGGAGUUUAGUUUUGUUUGCUUGAAUCCCAAUGGAUCGCCGAUAUCUGCCGACGAAAUAUUCCAAAACGGUCAGAUCCGACCCGUUUUUCCUUUGUUUAAUAGAGAUAUCCUAUUCGCCGACGGUGAUUCGGAGUCUAAAAACUCCUCCACGAUAGCUCUCCGGCCUCCGUUGAGAAAUUUGUUCGUGGAAGAGCGCGACCACGGCUUGUCAACUUCGUCUUCGGAAGCGGAGGAACCGGAGAGACCGUUCUGCGUUUGGGAAAGAAAAGCCGUGGAGGCGUCGCCUAAUGUCUGCAAAAAGAGCAACUCCACUGGAUUUUCAAAGCUAAGGAGGUUUCGAGAAUUGGUACUCCGAAGCAACAGCGACGGGAAGGAUGCCUUCGUCUUCUUAAAUCAUCACAACCAUAACGAUCAUCCUCCAACGCUAACAGCAGCAACAGCAAGUACAAAACCGAAAAAGGCAGAGAAAAGCGAAAAAGCCAUGGAGAAAAAGCGAAAGCCAGUGGCGAAGAAGGAUGAAAAAGCUUCGUCGGCGCACGAGAGACUCUACGUGAGCAAUCGAGCGAUGAAAGAGGAGAGCAAACGAAAAUCGUAUUUGCCGUAUCGGGUCGGGUUCUUCACAAAUGUGAACGGGUUGAGUAGGAACUUACAUCCCUAUUAAGUUCGUACAAUGGGGCUACAGUCAACGUUCUCUUUUUCAUUUUUGAGAGUUAGUUAAUUUAUUUAUUUAUUUUUUUAAAUGUAAACUGUAAAUUAGAUUGGAUAUUAAAAAUCAUGAUCUGAAGAGGUUUAGUGAUAACUGGACUCCUUUUCUUUGACUCCAUUUUUUGGUUGUUUUCUCGUUCAGAACCUUAUUGAAGGUCUGUUUAUAGCCAUUGAGUUUUUGGGUUUCUUUUCUUUUUGCAUCAUAGUGCAAGAGUUGUUAAACAGGGAGAGAGACAGCAAAACAAGGACUUUCAAAUUGUAAAUUCCUAUCCCCU
rnacentral:misc_RNA from 1 species